GAAGAGUAUGAAGACAGCUAAGAAGAGUCAAAGAGAAAGAAACGUUAGCAAUCAGUGUAAAGUGUGAACACAGAUUAAGCAGUUAAGGGUCAACAGAGUUAGGAAGUAUAGAGAACCCGAGAGGGUUUCCGUCAGUAAUCUCUGUGUCUCUUUGCAGAGGAAGGUGUUAAGUUUUCUUUACUUGCUUAUUUGCAUAUGUGUUUAUUGUGUGAC
rnacentral:lncRNA from 1 species